rnacentral:rRNA from 1 species
UUUAGCAUGGAAUAAUAGAAUAGGACGUGCGGUUCUAUUUUGUUGGUUUCUAGGACCGCCGUAAUGAUUAAUAGGGAUAGUCGGGGGCGUCAGUAUUCAGCUGUCAGAGGUGAAAUUCUUGGAUUUGCUGAAGACUAACUACUGCGAAAGCAUUCGCCAAGGAUGUUGUCAUUAAUCAGGGAACGAAAGUUAGGGGAUCGAAGACGAUCAGAUACCGUCGUAGUCUUAACCAUAAACUAUGCCGACUAGGGAUCGGACGGGAUCCUAUUAUGACCCGUUCGGCACCUUACGAGAAAUCAAAGUUUUUGGGUUCUGGGGGGAGUAUGGUCGCAAGGCUGAAACUUAAAGAAAUUGACAGAAGGGCACCACAAGGCGUGGAGCCUGCGGCUUAAUUUGACUCGACACGGGGAAACUCACCAGGUCCAGACAAAAUAAGGAUUGACAGAUUGAGAGCUCUUUCUUGAUCUUUUGGAUGGUGGUGCGUGGCCGUUCUUAGUUGGUGGAGUGAUUUGUCUGCUUAAUUGCGAUAACGAACGAGACCUCGGCCCUUAAAUAGCCCGGUCCGCAUUUGCGGGCCGCUGGCUUCUUAGGGGGACUAUCGGCUCAAGCCGAUGGAAGUGCGCGGCAAUAACAGGUCUGUGAUGCCCUUAGAUGUUCUGGGCCGCACGCGCGCUACACUGACAGGGCCAGCGAGUACAUCACCUUAACCGAGAGGUUUG